CAUGCAAGUCGUGCGCGAAGGUUUCCUUCGGGAGACUGGAAAGCGGCGAAAGGGAGAGUAACGCGUGGAUACUUACCCCCAGGUCCGGGAUAGCGGCGGGAAACUGCCGGUAAUACCGGAUGAUAUCUCCGGAUCAAAGGUGUGAUUCCGCCUGGGGAUGGGUCCGCGUCCUAUUAGCUUGUUGGUGGGGUAAUGGCCUACCAAGGCUUUGAUGGGUAGCGGGUGUGAGAGCAUGGCCCGCCUCACUGGGACUGAGACACUGCCCAGACACCUACGGGUGGCUGCAGUCGAGAAUCUUCGGCAAUGGGCGAAAGCCUGACCGAGCGACGCCGCGUGCGGGAAGAAGGCCUUCGGGUUGUAAACCGCUGUCAGAGGGGAGCAAAUGCGGUGGGGUUCUCCCCAUCGUUUGAGCUAUCUUCAGAGGAAGGACGGGCUAAGUUCGUGCCAGCAGCCGCGGUAAGACGAACCGUCCAAACGUUAUUCGGAAUCACUGGGCUUAAAGAGUGCGUAGGCGGCUUGGCAAGUUGGGUGUGAAAUCCCUCGGCUCAACCGAGGAACUGCGCUCAAAACUGCUCGGCUUGAGGGAGAUAGAGGUGAGCGGAACUAAUGGUGGAGCGGUGAAAUGCGUUGAUAUCAUUAGGAACACCGGUGGCGAAAGCGACUCACUGGGUCUCUACUGACGCUGAGGCACGAAAGCUAGGGGAGUGAACGGGAUUAGAUACCCCGGUAGUCCUAGCUGUAAACGAUGAGCACUAGGUCGAGGGGACUUCCACAUCCUCUUGGUCGUAGCGAAAGUGUUAAGUGCUCCGCCUGGGGAGUAUGGUCGCAAGGCU
rnacentral:rRNA from 1 species